GAAAACGUGAUGUCCAUCCACUUUCCCUCCAUUUCAGAAAAAUUUUGCCCCAAAACUUUCAAAAUCUCCAAACCCAAACACUCCGCCCACCGCCGACCACCCAUCCUAGCAACCUCCAAGCACCGGUGACCACGCCGACCCAACCUCCGACCACCUCGGAUCUGGUUUUUACCCAAAAAUCCUUUUCGCCAUCUCCAUCUUCCCUCUCCCCAGCCCAACGCCGCCGAAAGCCGGCCUCAAACAGCGCGGACCACUGUCGCCCACGACCACGCUGACCACCCCGAGCAGGCCGCCGUUCCCGAAUCUCUACGGUCAGUCUCUUUCGCCGGAUCUCUCUCUCCAUAGCCGGACUACUGUUUGUGGAGAUGAAGCAGUCACCACAACUGUUGAAUGGUGCUCCCACUGCUAAUAUCACAACUGAGCAAAUUCAAAAGUACCUGGACGAGAAUAAAGAGUUGAUUCUGGUAAUAAUGGAAAACCAAAACCUGGGAAAAUUCGCUGAAUGUGCCUCCUGAGAAGGCACACUAUGCUGCUAGAGAUCCUGUCACAGCGUUGAAGAAUUAUAUGUUUGAGAAUAAUUUAACCAGUGAAGCAGAGUUAAAGGCCAUAGAGAAGAAGAUAGAUGAGGUGGUUGAGGAGGCUGUUUAUAGAUGAGGUGGUUGAUGAGAGGCUGUUGACAUACUUAUUGAUGCCGUGGUUUAUAUUUUACCUCUACUCAAACUUAUGAAAAUGUGUCAGCUUUUCUAAUGUAAGCAGGAUUUGCUCUUUAGGUUGCAUUCUGUCCUCAAAUUUUGGUGAAUCUUAGUAGUUGAUUAUUUGUAAUUUGAAAUUUUGAGGUGGUAGUCCCAGCUGUAUGUUUAGGGGUUCUUUCUUUGAGAAUCUGUAAACACAAGGGUGUAUAUUUAGAUCCAAGUGGCUUUUGUUCUUUUGGCAAGUGUUUUGUGGCUCUUGUUCUUGUUAAAAAGUGGUUAUCGAUUGUUGUGGUGAGUUGACAUUUCUUCUUGAUUGCUUAAUUGAAUGGUGAGUUGCUGUUGUUUU